AUGAUUUGUUUUAUUUGUCCAACCCUUAUGUAUAGCAAAACUUACCAAGCCAUUUCAUAGGACUGAUUAUCAAAUAAAAUUUUGACAAUAAGCCAGAUACUAGUUUUGGAGUUUAGAUAUUAAGGGAAACAAAGGAGACAGUGAUGUAGCUCUGAGGUAAAAAAAAAUCAGUUGCAAUCAGAAACGAAACUUGCAGACCCCAAAAUCCCCCAUUCACAGCAAAAAGCAGCCACAAUAAUAAUCAACAACUGUCUGUACAUAACAAUCCCCAACCCCCUCACUCACAGAAAAUAACAGCGACAGUAGCAUCAAAACCCUCCCCCUUACAAAAAAUUAAUAGAUCAGCUAUCUGUCAAUUGUCCACAAGGAAGAAACCACUGAAAAACUGAAGGAAACCAAUAUGAAGUACAGUCCAAUAAUCAUAUAAAUCUCAGAAUAUGGGAAAUGUCUUUUCAUCUGCGUAUGAGGAGAGCAGCCACAAGGGGAGUGACCGCUGACCUCGGUCCGAAUGCCGCUGUUGAUCCCAAUCGAACACGCUGAUCCAGCUGCUGACCCCUCCGCAUUCACCUUGAUGAUUCAAUCUUCCUCACCACUUUGAGAUGGAGUCGUUCAUGACCCUGUGCCUCGUCUCUGGUCUUUUCCACAAGUCAGCUCGUGUUCUCAGCCCUUUUCGGUGUGUGCACCCCCUCCCCCAUUCUCUGAUCUCCACGAGGUAGCUCUCCAGACACAGCAAAGUGCUGAAUCCUUCAAUCACGACUGAAAUUGUACAUCACAGGCUCCAAUAGUUUUUGAAACACAAUACAAAAAGAACAAGCAGAAGGCAUAGAAAAAGUGUAAUAAUUGAAAAGAUUCGCUAUCUGGAAGAUGUCAACUGAGGAAUUGUUUUUUGCUGGUGACAUUUUAAAUGGUAGAUAUCUAAGGUUCUAAAACUGGGAGAUAUACUUAUUAAAUAAAUAUUGAAUGGAUUUUGAGAUUUAGUUCUCAUUAAAUGUCUGUUAGUUUACUCAAUAGCUUCUGUGAAGGAGUGUCAAUAUCAUCUGAUGCUCAGGUGGCAUGGUAGUGUUCUAGUUAGCACAACACUUUACAGUGCCAGUGACCGGGGUUCAAUUCCUGCCCACUUUGUGUAAGGAGUUUGUACAUUCUCCCCGUGACCAAUGGGUUUCCUCCCACAGUCCAAAGAUGUACAAGUUGGUAGGUUAAUUGGUCAUUGUGAAUUAGGCUAGAGUUAUGUUGGGGGUUGUUGGGCAGCACAGCUGGAAGGGCCAAUUGCAUGUGUAUCUCUGUCUGCUGACCGCUACAAUUUCUUCAGUAAUUUCUCUAAAGGAAUGUCUACAUCACCUGAUGCUCAGAAGGUUAGAGGAAUUGAAUUUUAGGAGCUGAUGGAUUUGGGACAGAUGAGAUGUUUCCAUGGAGAAAGAGAACCAGUGUAUCUUGGUAUGAGGUAGAAUGCAUUCAGCAGUGUUUGAGAAAGUUGAAGUUUAAUGGAUUGUAUGAGACCGGCAAGCAGUAGACUAGUGUAAUUGGUGGAGAAAGGAGGAAUUGGAGUUUGAGAGGCGGUGCAGCACUAAUGGAUGAAAAUGAAAGCUUUCAAAGGGCCUGCAUUUCUAGUGCCUUUGAAGAGGGUAAUAUGUUGGUGCAGCGGGUAGUACAAGUACCUAGGUUCUAGUGACCUGGAUUCAGUCCUGACCGUUGGUUUGCACAUCCUCCCUGCAACCAUGUUGGUCUUAUCUGAAUACUCCAGUUUCCUCACAUUCCAAAGACUUGUGGAUUGGUGUUAACAUGCUAAUGGUGUGUGGAUGAGUGGUAGAGACAAUGAGCAUAUGAGAGUGAAUAGGUUAGAUAGAAAUAAAUGGGGGAAUGGGAUUACUCUGAGCCAGCAGAAAGUCAAUGGGCCAAAUGGUUUCAUUUCUAUCAUAAGAAAAUAUAGGGCGUCUCAAUGUGCUUUGCAUCCAGUGAAAUACUUUUGAAGGGUGCUGCUUUCUGGGAUGUUACAUUGUCCCCCCUGUACACUCUGCAUAGAACAUGCUCAUUUCUCCUGUCUUAAUAUCCUUCUCAUUGAGCGGUGAAAAAAAUCACAAAACACCUAUCAACCACCUCCUGUCUGGAAACCUGUUUGUAGUUUUGAAUGCUUUCAACUUAAUUAGAAGGGAGGGUGUAGGGCAGAGGAGGAGAAGGGUUGUGAAUAGAUAUUAGAUCAGUGCAUCUGUCAGUGGGUGACUCCAUUGCAUCUCACCUCUCCAUAUCACACUGCACCAAUUGUUAUUUAAUAGGAUACCAGUGUUGGAAUGUUUAACUGUUGGUACUGUAUAUAAAUGUUUUAAUCUCAUAAACCUCAAAUGAUUUAAUGGGUGGCACAGUAAUGUUGUGCUUGGUGUAACACUUUACAGCACUAGUGAUUAGGGUUCAAUUCCCACCACUUUCUGUAAGUAGAUUUACAUUCUCUCUGUUGAUCGCGUGGGUUUCCUCUGAAUGCUGUGGUUUCCUCCCACAUGCCAAAGAAGUAUGUAUUAGGAUUAGUACAUUGUGGGCUUGCUAUUCUAGUGCCAGCAGCUUGGUGAUGCUUAUGGGCUGCUCCUAAUAGAUCCUCAGACUGUUUUGGUCUUUGAUGCAACUGAUGCAUUUCACUAUGAUCCAAUGUACAUGUGACAAAUAAAGGUGAUCUUUAUCUUCGGUGCGGAGGUGCGUAAAACUACUUAGUGCAAUAGCAGUUCUCCACGUGGCCAGUUACUUGUCUGUUGUACUUGAGGGUUGAAUAAUAAAAUGUCUCAACUAAUGGGCUGCCGAUGGGUAAUUUAUGGUGUGUAGUGAUGAAUUGUUUGGGAAGCAGGUUUAUCCAUCUGUUCUUUGGCCAAGGCAUUUCUGGUUUUAGGAUAUGAGAAGGAAAGCAAGAGAUACUGUAUAUUAACUGUGUUCUGAAGUUUUGUGCUCGCUUUGUUCUUCUAGGGUUGAUAUUUGUCGUUGACAGUAAUGACAGAGAGCAUAUGAAUGAGGCACGUGAGGAGCUGAUGCGAAUGCUUGCAGAAGAUGAAUUGCGUGAUGCUGUCUUACUUGUCCUUGCCAACAAACAGGAAGUACAAUUACAAAAUGUCCGUGUUUUAUUUGGUGCCAUAGUUCAGACUGAAAAUGACUGCAACAAAAUACUAAAGGAACAAACAUCCUGGACGUGAAAAUAUCAACUGAAUGUUCAUACAGGUUAUUUAUAAAAAUCACGGAGAGUAAGGGUCCCAGAACAGAUCCCUGAGGCACUCCACUGGUGACCGACCCCCAUGCAGAAUAUGACCCGUCUACAACUGAGAUAAACAGGUAAUUUGGGCCAAAAGAUAUAAGCUGUAAACUCUGUGUAAAACACUUUGGUCUAAUUUUAUGGGCAAUGGUGUGUGAUCUGAUAACAUGAUUAAUAUCUAUUUUCAUGACACGUAUCCUGUGUUAGGUUUUAGAAUCACUCACUAUAUGCAAAGGUUUCCUUUUAAAAUAGAAACUGGGCCACAAAAGUAGAAAGGAAAGUAAAUUGUAAAGAGGAUAUAAGGCAGCUCCAAAGGAGUAGUAUUAGAUUGAAUGGGGAAAAUGUAAAGUUGCUCAUAUGGCAAGAAAAAUAUUAAACAACAGGAAAGGGUUCUGGGUGACCUAGAGCAUGAUUAGCAAAAGACCAGAGGCAGGUAUGACAAGUCAUUAAGAAAGCUAACAGAACAAUAUUAUUUUGAGAGUAAUUGAGUACAAAAGUAGAGAGGAUCUGCUUCAGUUAUAUAGGUAUCAGUGUGACCACAUCUGGAGUACUCUGGAGUAUUGGUCCCCUUAUUUAAGGAAGGAUGUUAAUGCAUUGAUAACACUUUUUACUAGGCUAGAAUGGGCAGGUUAUCUUAUAAGGAAAGGUUGGACAGGCUAAGCUUGAGGUUUGAAAAGCGAUAUGGGACUUGAUUGAAACUUGUUACAUUCUGAGGGGUCUUGACAGGGUGGAUAUGGAAGGCACAGAGCAGCAGCCACAACAGCAAAACAGUCCCCACCACCCACCCACCAAUGCACAUUCACAGUCAUCUAACCCCAGCUCAGGGCAUCUUUGGCCUCCAGCCUCCAGUGGACACAGGAAUUUGCAGACACUGGGCCUGUCAUUAAGCAUCCCACCACCCAUGACAUUAGACCAUAAGACACUGGAGCAGAAUUAGGAUGUUUGGCCUGUUGAGUCUUCACCAUUUGAUCAUGGCUGAUCCAUUUCCUUUUCAGCCCCAUUCUCUUGCCUUCUCCCCAUAUUUGUUCACGCCCUGACAUAUCAAGAACCUAUCAACCUUCACCUUAACUACACUCAAUUACCUCCACAGCUGCCUGUGGCAAUGAAUUCCGCAGAUUUGCCACUAACUGGCUGAAGAAAUUCCUCCUCUCUUCUAAAUGGAUGUCCUGCUAUUCUGAGGUUGUGUCCUUUGGCUGUACUCACCCCACUACAAGAAACAUUCUCUCCACAUCCAUACUACCUAUGCCUUUCAACAUUUGAUAGGUUUCAAUGAGGUCACCCCACUCAUUUUUGUAAGUUCUAGUGUGUACAGGCCCAGAGCUAUCAAACACUUGUAUGAUAAGCCUUUCAAUCCCAGAAUCACUUUCGUGAACCUCCUUUGAACCCUUCCCAAUGUCAGCACGUCCUUUCUUAGACAAGGGCCCAAAGUUGCUCACAGUCCUCCAAGUGAGGCUUCACCAGUGCCUUAUAAAUCCUCAGCAUUGCAUCCUUCUUUUAUGUUCUAGUCCUCUCAAAAUGAAUUGUAACAUUGCUUUCCUCACCACUGACUCAACUUGCAAGUUAACCUUGAGGGAGCCCUGCACAAGGACUUCCAAGUCCCUUUGCACCUGGGAAUCUUGAAUUUUCUCCCCAUUUAGAAAAUCCUCUAUGCUUUUAUUCCUUCUAUCAAAGUGCAUGACCAUACACUUCCCGACACAGUAUUCCAUCUGCCACUUCUUUGCCCAUUCUCCCAAUCUGUCUAAGUCUUUCUGUAGCCUCUCUGCUUCCUCAAUACUACCUGCCCCUCCACCUAUCUUCGUAUCAUCUGCAAACUUUGCAACAAAGCCAUUAGUUCCAUCAUCCAAAUCAUUGACAUACACCGACCCCUUUGGAAUACCUAUAGUCACUGGCAGCCAAUCAGAACAGGCUCCCUUUAUUCCCAUACAUUGCAUCCUGCCAAUCAGCCACUGCUCUAUCUUGUUAGUAUCUUUCCUGUAAUACCACAGGCUCUUGUCAAAUGCAAAAUCCAAGUACACAACAUCCACUGAUUCUCCUUUGUCUAUCCUGCUUGUUAUUUCCUCAAAAAAUUUGAACAGAUUUGUCAGGCAAGAUUUUCCCUUAAGGAAAUCAUGUUGACUUUGGCCUAUUUUAUCAUGUGCCUCCAAGUACCCUGAAACCUCAUCCUUAAUAAUUAACUCUAACAUCUUCCUUAGGACAGACUGACUGACCUAUAGUUUCCUUUCUUCUGCCUCUCUCCUUUCUUGAAGAGUGAAGUGAUAUUUGCAAUUUUCCAGUCCUCCAGAACCAUGCCAGAAUCUUGUGAUUCUUGACAGAUCAUUACUAUUGCCUCCACUAUCUCUUCAGCUACCUCUUUCAGAAGGCCUGGGUUGCAGUCCAUUUGGUCCAGGUGACUUAUCUACCUUCAGACCUUUCAGCUUCCCAAACACCUUCUCUCUAGUAAUAGCAAGUGCACUCACUUCUGCCCCUGAUGCUCUCAAACAUCUGGCAUACUGCUUGUAUCAUCCAUGGAGAAGACUGAUGCAAAAUACUUUUUCAGGUCAUCCACCAUUUCCUUGUCCCUCAUUACUACCUUUCCAGUGGUCCAAUAUCUACUCUCACCUCUCUUUUACUCUUUGUAUAUCUGAAAAACUUUUGGUAUCCUCUUUGAUAUUAUUGACUAGUUUACUUUCAUAUUUCAUCUUUUCCACCCUUAUGACUUUUUCCCAUUGCCUUCUGUUGGUUUUAAAAGGCUUCUCAAUCCUCUAACUUCCCACUAAUUUUUGCUCUGCUAUAUGCCAUCUCUUUUGCUUUUAUGUUGGCUUUGACUUCCCUUGUCAGCCAUGGUUGUUGUCACCCUGGCUUUAGAAUAUUUCUUCUUUGGAAUACAUCUAUCCUGCACCUUCCAAAUUGCUCCCAGAAACUGCAGCCAUUGCUGCUCUACCAUCAUCCUUGCUAGUGUCCCCUUCCAGUUAACUUUGGCCACCUCCCCUCUCAUGCCUUUGUAAUUCCCUUUUCUCCACUGUAAUAUUGAUAUGUUUGACUUUAGCUUCUCCCUCUCAAAUUACAGAGUGAUUCUAUCAUAUUAUGAUUCUUGACUCCAAGGGUUCCUUUGCCUUAAGCUCCCUAAUUAAAUCUGGGUCAUUACACGACACCAAAUCCAGAAUAGCUGAUCCCCUAAUAAGACUCAACCACAAGCUGCCCUAAAAAGCCAUCUCAUUGCAUUCUGCAAAUUCUCUCUUGGAAUCCAAAAUCAGCACCAACCUGUUUUCCCCAAACUACCUGCAUAUUGAAAUUUCCCCAUGACUAUUGUAACAUUGCCCUCUUGUCAUGUCUUUUCUAUCUCCCAUUGUAGUUUGUAGCCAACAUCCUUGCUACUGUUCAGAGGCCUGUAUAUAACCCUCAUCAAGGUCUUUUUACACUUAACUCUACCCAUAAGGAUUCUACAUCAUCUGAUCCUAUGUUGCCUCUUUCUAAGGAUUUGAUUUCAUUUUUUAUCAGUAGAGCCACCCCACCCCUUCUGCCUACCUGUCUGUCCUGUCUAUACAAUGUGUAUCCUUGGAUGUCAAGUUCCCAACUAUAAUUAUUUUUCAGCAUAACUCAAUGAUGCCCACAAUGUCAUACCUGCCAAUUUCUAACUGCGAUACAAGAUCAUCUGCCUUACUCUGUAUACUGCUUGCUUUCAAAUAUAACACCUUUAGUCCUAUGUUCAUCACCCACCCUUUUUAAAUUGUUUUAAUCCCCCGUUACACUGUAACUCAUUGUACUGACUGCAAUUUUGCCCUGUUAUCUGCCUUUCCUUUCUGACAGAGUCACUGUACACUGCCUCUGCUUGUAAACCAACUGCCCCAUCCUCAGCCCUAUCAUUCUGGUUCCUAUCUCCUUGCCAAAUUAGUUUAAACCCAUCCAAUAGCUGUAGCAAACCUGUCUGCAAGGAUAUUGGUUCCCCUCCCCAAUAGUAAUAAUGAGACUAGGACACGCCCUCUCCUCGCUGGUACCACCAGGGAGGAGGUACAGGAGCCUGAAGACAAACGCUCACCAUUUUAGCGACAACUUCUUCCCCUCUGUCAUCAGAUUUCUGAACGGUCUAUGAGCACUACCUCACUAUUUUCACUCUUUUUGCAUUACUUUUUUAUAUAUUCUGUACUAUAUACUCCUUAUUGUAAAUUAUGGUAUUUUUGUGUUACACUGUACUGCUGCCACAAAACUACAUAUUUCACAUAUGUCAGUGAUAAUAAACGUGAUUCUGAUU